UGAGGAAUAUUGGUCAAUGGGCGGGAGCCUGAACCAGCCAAGCCGCGUGAGGGAAUAAGGCCCUACGGGUCGUAAACCUCUUUUGUCGGGAACAAAGCGGGACGCGUCCCCGUCUGCGUGUACCCGAAGAAAAAGCAUCGGCUAACUCCGUGCC
rnacentral:rRNA from 1 species